UAUCGUUUUAUUUUGUUUUGUUUUGUUUUAUUUUAUUUUAUUCUGUUUUAUUUUAUUCUGUUUUAUUUUAUUUUGUUUUGUUUUAUUUUGUUUUGUUUUAUUUUGUUUUGUUUUAUUCUGUUUUAUUUUGUUUUAUUCUGUUUUAUUUUGUUUUUUAUUUUGUUUUGUUUUAUUUUAUUUUGUUUUGUUUUUAUUUUAUUUUGUUUUGUUUUAUUUUAUUUUAUUUUGUUUUAUUUUAUUUUGUUUUAUUUUAUUUUGUUUUGUUUUUUUUAUUUUGUUUUAUUUUAUUUUAUUUUAUUUUGUUUUGUUUUAUUUUAUUUUGUUUUGUUCUAUUCUAUUCUAUUCUAUUCUAUUCUAUUCUAUUCUAUUCUACUUUGGGUUCUGGUUAGCAUUAGCCAAUGCACUGGGUGUGUGCGUGAUUUCUAGACGGUAAGUGGGUCGGUGUCCUUCAGUGCAUGCCUGAGACUACCUACCAGCAGUCCCCAAAACAUCUUCUAAACCAGUAGACAACAUUGGAACUGUUACAAUGCUCCAGCACUCGACAAAACUAUCUUAAUCUUUCUGUUCACAAGAUGUGUGCUAAGUGCUGGAAUAUUUAACAAUUCUCAUUGAAGUCUUUUCCUAUACUCUGUUUUCUUUUAGGGCUAGUUUAAGAACUCAGCAGGUGGGUCACUUUGUAGGUUGGCUCGGAUUUCCCUGGCUGUUAAUGAAAACACUUUUUUCCUCUUCUGUUGGCCAACAGGAAGGUGUGGGUGCAACAGGGGUUGAGUGACCGUCCAUAAGGACAGUGCAGAAGGACCGUCAGAUCUGCUCAGCUUGCUUAGCUAUGGAUGUUCGGCGAAUCCCAUAAGGCUUAUAACCGUACAGGAGCAAAGAGGGCACCAGGCUGUGACCGGCCUGAGGCUGCACCCGACCCAGGCCACCUUCCCGUUGGCCACAAUGCAGGAUUGUCAGGCGUGAGAGUCAAGACGGUGUCUGAUGGGCGAUUGCAGGUUACGAUGCUGGCCACACCUCUCCCACUUCUGGUUCAAAUGUGGGGCAAUUCCGUCCCUCAGGGAAGUAACACCCUGCACCGUGGGAGCCACACGCAGGACGUUUAG
rnacentral:lncRNA from 1 species